CUUAUUGGUAUAGUGAAAUUGCUCAUCUCCAUUUGUGGACAUUAUCACAGGAUUGUAGAAUAUGGACAAAGACAAUAUGACUUCUACUAUUACUUUUGCGGAUAAGGGGGAGCAAACCCAUGUAGAUAUAGCUUGUGAUUCUGAGCUGGUUAAGCUUGCCUUAGGCUUGACUAACCUUCCGGUUAAAAUUGAAAACUAUGACUCAUUCUAUGAGAUGACAUAGACCUUCUCUCCUGGCAGAUUCUGAAUCUUACAAAGGAGACAGAGAGGAUACUUCCACCCUGUAGCUUUCAUUUUGUUUAACAAUGCAGUGGCAGCAUUCUCUUAUAUUUCAAUUAUUUGUAAUGUACCCCUUUGUAUUUUGUAUGAGCAGAAUUGGUGUUUUGCAUAAUA